AAACAUCCUGUCUUCGAUCUCUUAAUAACAUAAGCCAACUAUUUUAUUUUGGUGUGGAAAAAAAGUUAUAUCAUGGCUUGUUGCAAAUUAUUUGGUGUUGACAAAGAACAAAGUUAAGGCUACGUUGAGGCUUGCCGAGAGUACCAUCAUGUGCUUUCGAACACUCAAAAGGUGUUCUAGGCACUCGAUACAGUGGGGUUCUUGCGAGAGUUCUUUCUAUGCAAUGUUGCAGUGACACCACCAUUUUAUCUUUGGGAAGGAUCUAAUCCUUUUGCCUGCAGUUUCUUGAGAUCUCUUUAACAAAUUGGCACCAAGGACAUGGAGGAAUUUUGGCACUGCACAUUCUCAUAGCCUUGACUUGCUGCUGUUUUGACAUCAUUAUGGUGGCUGCAGUUGUUAACAACCAAACCUCUUUUGCCUACAAGUUAAUUUAACAACGAAGAGCUGAACUGGCAAAUAUAAUUAUACCUUGCCAAUGAUGGUUUUGAUUUGUUGUUCUAACUGGCGCUUGGUUGUGUUUUCUUUUUUCUUUUUUGGUGAUUUUUGUAGCACUUAGUUUCUUCUUUUAUUUUCUGGUAUCCUAGAAUUUCAGCAACCUGACUCAUUCUUCUUUGCAGCACUUUGGAUUUUCUCCUUUUGCUUUUUGCCUUAAUUUCUGCAGCACUUCGUUCCUCUUUCUGACUUCUCGCCUUUGCUUCUUUUUUUUUGCCUUUGUUUCUUUUUGCUUUCCAUUGAAGCCUUUUUAUAGACAUGAAGAGACGGUUGGUGAACCAUUGAAUGGGUAGAGAUAAAGAAGGAAUGUUGUUGCCCACUAACCAUUGCAACUUCAAUAGAUGUGGGACACUUCCUUGUUGAUUUAGUUCAAUUUGUUUAUUUGUUUAUUUUAUAUUUCUUUUGAAAACUAACUUUAUCUCCUCUUUAAUUUAUAGAAGGAACAAUCAGUAGCCUUAAAGAUCAACCUUCACGUCUUGGGCUUUUAUUUUGGGCCCAUUUCCUUGUCAUGUAAUUUUUUUUUUGUGCUCAACAGUAUGAGAGCUAUGCAAUGAAAUUGGAUAUAAGAAGACUUCUCAUACUUCCGCAUCAUUUCCUAAAUGUUCCCGGUCAUAGGAUUAUCAAUUGGGCGUUGAUAAUCCACAAAGAUUGAUACACACUACAUAUGUUCAACUGGGAGAAUGACUAGUCUCAAGUCAUUGCGUGUAGUGAAACUAAUAUAAGUGUGUAGGUGCUUAUAGGAACAAGUACACUAAACGCAAUCAAACUACGAGUUCUAAUAUGGAAGUCUUACUCACAUAUCAAACUAGAACUCAUAAGUUGCAACAGUGCAAACUAGUCCUCAAACCUGUGACAUCAUUGUUGUCUUGUGGACGAGUCGUUUGGCUUUGAUAUCACCAUACAGUCACUAAAAGAAAAAACGACUCAAAGAUGAUUACCAGGAUUCUCGACAAGCUCAUGGAGGCAAGUGAAUGUAGAACAAGGAUCUCUGCUCUCAGUAAGGAAAGAGAACGCUCCAAAGAUGUGAUUGAGAAAUAUAUGCAAAGUAUCAUAGAUGAUUAGAAAAGAAGUUUCUAAACAUGACCAAUGUAAUCAUAUAAGUGGAAAAUUCAUAUUAGAGUUUUGACAAAAGUAUCCAUACCCUAAUAAUACGAAUUAGGAGCACUGUAAUAGAGAAGGACUCAAUUGCAUAGCAAUUCCAACUUGAAUAGGUUCUUCACCUUUUCUGAUUAGCUUAGGUAGCCAUGACAUGCUGCUAAGCGUGAACCAUGGCUUGUGGAAGUCCUCUAAGGUUCAAUUAUUAUUGUCCUUCGCUAAUAGGAAGAAUUAAAUGGUGAGAUUUAAUUCACAAUCAACUGAGAGAAGAUGAGACAACUCACUGCCUCGCUAAAAGGAAC
rnacentral:lncRNA from 1 species